rnacentral:misc_RNA from 1 species
GAUGAAGAACGUAGCGAAAUGAGAUAAGUAAUGUGAAUUGCAGAAUUCAGUGAAUCAUCGAAUCUUUGAACGCAUCUUGCGCUCCUUGGUAUUCCUUGGAGCAUGCCUGUUUGAGUAUCAUGAGCAAACCUCAAAGUCAAUUCCUUUUGUUAAUUCAAUUGGUUUUGCUUUGGACUUGGAGGUCUUGCAGAUUUCACAGUCUGCUCCUCUUAAAUGCAUUAGCUGGAUCUCAGUAAUUAUGCUUGGUUCCACUCGGCGUGAUAAGUAUCACUCGCUGAGGACACUGUUAAAAAGGUGGCCAGGAAAAUACUGAUUGAACCGCUUCUAACGGUCUAUUAAGUUAGACAAUUACCCUUAAGUUUGAUCUCAAAUCAGGAAGGACUACCCGCUGAACUUAAGCAUAUCAAUAAGCGGAGGA